rnacentral:rRNA from 1 species
UCUGGUGACAAUGGCAAGGAGGUCACACCUGUUCCCAUGCCGAACACAGAAGUUAAGCUCCUUAGCGCCGAUGGUAGUCGGACUGACGUUCCGCUNNNNNAAGUCCUCUGGCCGGCACCAUCU